rnacentral:rRNA from 1 species
CCUACGGGUGGCAGCAGUGAGGAAUAUUGGUCAAUGGACGAGAGUCUGAACCAGCCAAGUAGCGUGAAGGAUGACUGCCCUAUGGGUUGUAAACUUCUUUUAUAUGGGAAUAAAAUGUUCCACGUGUGGGAUUUUGUAUGUACCAUAUGAAUAAGGAUCGGCUAACUCCGUGCCAGCAGCCGCGGUAAUACGGAGGAUCCGAGCGUUGUCCGGAUUUAUUGGGUUUAAAGGGAGCGUAGGUGGAUUGUUAAGUCAGUUGUGAAAGUUUGCGGCUCAACCGUAAAAUUGCAGUUGAAACUGGUAGUCUUGAGUACAGUAGAGGUGGGCGGAAUUCGUGGUGUAGCGGUGGAAUGCUUAGAUAUCACGAAGAACUCCGAUUGCGAAGGCAGCUCACUGGACUGCAACUGACACUGAGGCUCGAAAGUGUGGGUAUCAAACAGGAUUAGAUACCCCAGUAGUC